UACGUAGGUGGCAAGCGUUGUCCGGAUUUACUGGGCGUAAAGAGCGCGCAGGCGGUCGUUCAAGUCGCGGGGGAAAGCCCCCGGCUCAACUGGGGAGGGUCACGCGAUACUGAUCGACUCGAAGGCAGGAGAGGGAAGUGGAAUUCCCGGUGUAGUGGUGAAAUGCGUAGAUAUCGGGAGGAACACCAGUGGCGAAGGCGACUUCCUGGCCUGUUCUUGACGCUGAGGCGCGAAAGCUAGGGGAGCAAACGGG
rnacentral:rRNA from 1 species